rnacentral:SRP_RNA from 1 species
AUCGGGAGUAGUAGCACAUGCCUGUAGUCCCAGCUAGUCGGGAGGCUGAGGUGGGAGGAUCGCUUGAGCCCAGGAGUUCUGGGCUGUAGUGUGCUAUGCCAAUCGGGUGUCCGCACUAAGUUCAGCAUCAAUAUGGUGACCUCCUGGGAGCGGGGGACCACCAGAUUGCCUAAGGAGGAGUGAACUGGACCAGGUUGGAAAGGGAGCAGGUCAAAACUCCAGUGCUGAUCAGUAGUCAGAUCGUACCUGUGAAAAACCACUGCAUUCCAGCCUGGGCAAUGUAGUGAGACCUUGUUUCU